CAGCACUGGUACGCUUAAAGCCAGGCUCGUCAUCUGACCUGAGUCCCCUCACAUCACCCCUUCCUCCCAAAAGGGCUGGAAACUGAAAGGUCUGCUGAGCAAAGCGGCUGGACACCCACAGGAGAAGGGGCACUGACCUCCUGGUGCCUCCCCAUUUCAGACACGGAGGUGGCCAGAGACAGCACGAAAAAGCGUCUGCCUAAAGAGCCUCGUGGUCAGGACACUCCUCGGAGCCGCAGGGCAUUCCAAAUUAAAUCCAGCAGAGCUGUGACUGGAAAAGAUCUUUUAUUGCUCCAGGCUGACCCUGCUUCCCACCUGGCAGGGAUCAG